rnacentral:rRNA from 2 species
GCGGCGGACGGGUGAGUAACACGUGGGUAACCUGCCCGUAAGACCGGGAUAACUCCGGGAAACCGGGGCUAAUACCGGAUAACACCGGGGGCCGCAUGGCUUCCGGUUGAAAGGCGGCCUUUGGCUGCCACUUACGGAUGGGCCCGCGGCGCAUUAGCUGGUUGGCGGGGUAACGGCCCACCAAGGCGACGAUGCGUAGCCGGCCUGAGAGGGUGGACGGCCACACUGGGACUGAGACACGGCCCAGACUCCUACGGGAGGCAGCAGUAGGGAAUCUUCCGCAAUGGGCGAAAGCCUGACGGAGCGACGCCGCGUGAGCGAGGAAGGCCUUCGGGUCGUAAAGCUCUGUUGUCAGGGAAGAAGGCGCGCCGUUCGAAUAGGGCGGCGCGGUGACGGUACCUGACGAGAGAAGCCCCGGCUAACUACGUGCCAGCAGCCGCGGUAAAAC